UUGUUUCGGAACGACGGUCGAAUAGAUAGUUUUUUUUCAGUAGACACAGAUUCGUUACGGGCGAGACAAUGCGCACGACCUUUCCGUCUGAUGGAAAUACAUUUUUAUUUUCAUUGUCAGGAGCGAUCCGAUUGGAAAUGUCACUUUUCAAAGGUGAUUUUAUUCGGGCAUUACGUCGAACACGUUCACCGUGCGGUCAACUCGGCCGUGGAAACGGGUACCGAGGUACCAACAGGUAAACGCACACGAAUCGCUGUACUGUUGUUACGUUGAAUUUAAUUACCACCGUACACUUGCACAGACGCUUAUCGCUCGCCGGGCUCUCCGAGCUUCUAGAAAAUUCCAUACGAACGAUAAACGGCCGUGGGGAAAUUGCGAAACGUCGCAUUAUGAAAUUGAACUUGCAGAAUAUUUUCAGUACGUACAACGGCUAUGCGUUCGAUCGGUUCUGUGAUUUGUCUUUAU